rnacentral:rRNA from 1 species
GACGAACGCUGGCGGCGUGCCUAAUACAUGCAAGUCGAGCGGACAGAAGGGAGCUUGCUCCCGGAUGUUAGCGGCGGACGGGUGAGUAACACGUGGGUAACCUGCCUGUAAGACUGGGAUAACUCCGGGAAACCGGAGCUAAUACCGGAUAGUUCCUUGAACCGCAUGGUUCAAGGAUGAAAGACGGUUUCGGCUGUCCCUUACAGAUGGACCCGCGGCGCAUUAGCUAGUUGGUGAGGUAACGGCUCACCAAGGCGACGAUGCGUAGCCGACCUGAGAGGGUGAUCGGCCACACUGGGACUGAGACACGGCCCAGACUCCUACGGGAGGCAGCAGUAGGGAAUCUUCCGCAAUGGACGAAAGUCUGACGGAGCAACGCCGCGUGAGUGAUGAAGGUUUUCGGAUCGUAAAGCUCUGUUGUUAGGGAAGAACAAGUGCAAAAGUAACUGCUUGCACCAUGACGGUACCUAACCAGAAAGCCACGGCUAACUACGUGCCAGCCGCCGCUGUAACAC